GUUUUCCAUCUCAUAGUCUUCGUUUUCUAAAGGAAACAACGGGACAGUGUCUACUAAAAAGUUACACAGUGGAGGACACACCCGCCCGUGUAACGUUGUGGCGCUCUUGUAAAUUUUACGCAAAACAGUGGCAGUAAGUGUGUCCGUGGCUGCUGCUGAGCUGAGAAACUUCUGUCUGCAAAAUGCCUCCAAGGACCCUCUCCUGGUCGGGGUCCCCUCUAGUGAUAAUCCCUUCAGACCCCCUAAGUCCUGCUCCCUGUUCUGAGGUA